AUGGGAGACUGUGUAUGUCUAGGGAGAAGAAUGUUCUAGGCAAACAGGCCAACCAACAUAAGAGCAUAAGAGUGAACUUGGCUCAUCCUAGGAAAAGCAAGCAGGUCAUCUUGGUCAAACUGAAUAAGGCAAAGAGUGAAAGGAGAUAAAGCUGAAGAACUAAGCAAGAGCCAGUUUGGAGUCAUUGUAUGAAGAUUAUUAGACCCAUCCUAUCCUGGCAAGGAUGCUGUAUCCCAAGGAUUCUGCUUCCAUCCGAAGGACAGCUCUUCUGCACUUUGCCAAUUUCUGUGCUCCUUCUACCGACCCUGAGUUUUUAUUUAGAAGGUCAAAUGCUUGAGAGAUAACUUGAUAAAACAGUCAAGAGGGACACGAAGAUCUGAACUCUUUGGUCUCCUUUGGGCUUUGACCUGAAUCCCAUGUACACUUGAGUUUAGCAGGCCUCAGAAUGACCAAAGACAAGAAGCUAAUUGGCCUUUGCCUUCUCAGAAAGGUCCUCUUUCUCAAGUUCUCUGGACCAUCAAGCUUUCUCCAGCAAUCUGAAGUGCAGUGAUUGAACACAGCUUAAUUAAUGAUGACAGGAGGCAGCACUGAGAGGCGGAGCCACGGUUGGAAGGGAGCCUGUAUCCUGAGUCAAGACUUAGAAGAAAUCCACCUGGGAAAGCCACCUAACCAGCAUCAGAAUGCAAAGUGGACUAGAAACAAAACAGCGUUUUUAUUCCUCAGUCACACCCAGGAAGGACAAGGAAGGAACGCCAAACUUUGAGCAUUUGGACUCGCCCUUUGCAGUGUUUCUUCAACUUCCAAGGACAAAGGUGUAGUCAGAAAAUGUGAAUUGGACUUGCCCUAUAUCUGCCGAUCUGUCUCAUCCUUGAGUUCUUGUGACAUGGAAACCUUACCCUUGGACUAAGAUCAAGAAACUCAGAGCAAAUGACAAGAAGAUUUUGAGUGAGGUCUUCUUCAGCUCUGAGGAACACUAUGUUACUCUCACCAAAAGACAUGCUUCCCUCACCGCAGGCCUGGGGGCUGUAGCUGGGCACUGCCAGUGGAAACCCAGAAAGGUGGAAGUCCUUGGAGCUCUGCAGAAAGCCAGGCCCCCAGCUCUUUCCCCUUGGCUUUAUGCCAAACUCACAAAUUCCUUAACUAAAACAUCCGUUACCAACACAAACACAGAACCUUCGAAGUCUCUUGAUUAUUCCUUAUCAGUCCCUUUUCUAUGUUUCAUAGAGGAAAUGUAUUACUUUAGGGGAAAAAACAGACUCCCUCUUCUCAGGACAACAAGCUCCGUAUAGUAUGCAUUUGUGGUCACCAAGAUGGCAAGGCAUGAGUCUCACUUGAGAGCCAGGAGGGUAAAUAUGUGCCUAGCAAGAAGCUUAGAACCACUCUUUAAAUAGAGUUUGGCCCUUCCUUCAGCCCCCCUGCUAUUUUGGCCAAGUGUGCAAAUGGCCUCUCCAAGCUCCUUUUUGAGCCCCUAGACACCCGCAAGAAGGGGGCUGAUGGCUGAAAAGGCAGCGGUUGGCCUUUGGAGAAGCUCUUCUGACUAACUAGGCUACACCUGCCACUCUUGCUGCCUUCCAAUCCAUUCCUCACUGUGCACUGAAGUGAUCUUUGAAAAUACGAAUCUGAUAGGAUUCCCACAAAGUCCCAUUGGGUCUACAUGGUUUGGCAUGUCUGGCCCCUGUGCACAUAUCCCAUCCCAUUGCUACCCUCUGCUUCAGCCACACAGGCCAUAUUCUGUUCUGUCCAGUUGCCACACUCCCUCCCUCCAUAGGCCUGCACUCAUGUUCUGCUAUCUUCCUCCAAUUUCACUUAAAAAAAAAAAAAGAUUUUAUCUAUUCAUUCAUGAGAGAGACACACACACAGAGAGAGAGAGAGAGAGAGAAGGGCAGAGACACAGGCAGAGGGAUAAGCAGGCUCCAUGCAGGGAGCCCGAUGUGGGACUCGAUUCCAGGUCUCCAGGAUCAGGCCCUGGGCUGAAGGCAGGCGCUAAGCCGCUGAGCCAUCUGGGCUGCCCCUCCAAUCUCACUUUUGAUUAACAUCUACAUCUCAUUCAGGUUGCAGAUCAAUUGCUACCUCAUCAGGGAAACUUCCACCAAUUCUAUGAACUAGUUAUCUCCCUGUCUUCUACUCUCUGGUACUUAGCCCUCAUUGACCUUUGUUCGACCACGAGACUGUAAGCACCAUAAGAGUAGGAAUGAGUGAUCUAUUUUUUCUUUUCAAUAUGUAUCCAGUGCUUAGAAGAAUAACAGUAUUUAUAUACUCAAUAAAUAUUUGUUGAACUAAUAAAAAAACACCUCUUAGGAACAGUGACCAAGAUACUAUAAACACCAUAUGUUCCUUUCCUGGGAUUUCUUGAGUUUUUGCCUUACUUUUAAUUUCUAUAACGACUUUUAAGUAACAGGGUAUAGUUGUGACACCUAAUUCCAAUGUGUGUGUCUUUUCCCCACACCACCAAGCAAUUUCCUGACACCUGAUGAGCGUCUGACAAUUGAACUUAAUUUUGACACUUAUCUAUGUGGAGAUAGUAUCGGAGCCUGCAGGUUAAGGGCUCAGUCCCUCAAGACACUCUCCCCCAUUCAGAUGCCAAUCACAAGUCUGGAUUGUCACCUGUGUGUCUCACCAACUGGUUCUAGGUUGGAGGUUCCAAUGACUCUUUCUUGUCAUUUGCUAGAAUGACUCAGGGAACUCAGAGAAACAUUUAAUUACUAGAUUACCCGUUUAUUAUGAAAGGAUAUAACAACUCAGAAGCAGCCAGAUAGAAAAGAUGCGUAGGGCAAGAUUUAGGGAAGCAGGUGGGACCUGCCACCCUCAGAGCCCUGCAGGCUCAAACAAGUGA